rnacentral:lncRNA from 1 species
AAAGAUCCAUGACUGAAAGUUGUUUUGCUCGAUUUGUUCUUAAUGUGCGGAAUUAUGCUUAAUCCAUGCUUGAUUCGUGACCUCCAUUGAUUAUGCAACAUGUUGAUAUGAUUAUUUUUGAAAUCUGGAAAUUUUGUUCUUGAUCAUGAUGAACUGCUACUGUAAAUGUCCUGCGCGCGAUGAAGAUGAUGAUGAUAAGUUUUGGUCACGGUUUUGAUCUGUUUUUCGCUACACAAAUGCGUUGCCUUAGGUUUCUGUUAGGGUUGGCACGUG